AGGCAAUGUGCCGGAAUUCUUAAAUAGAACAGUAUACUAAGUUCUAGAACAAUUCUCUCCAGAACAAAAACUAAGAAGGAAGAAAUAAAUGAGGAACAUAAUGCUCCAGAAUCAGCUCCAGUCCGGACGGGCCCAUAGCAGAACUUUGUAAGACUCUCUUCUCCACACCACAAUGGCUGGAAGGCUCCAGUAUGAACUGCCAUACAUUUAUAGAGUUGGUCUCCAUGGUGAAGGAAUAACUAAGCAAGAACAAGAGUUAUGUCUGCCCAAGUGUAGCCCCUUCAUCACGAUCUGGACUUCUGGCUCGUGCACAACCUGCUCUCUGUUGUACAAGUGGAGGGAUUUCCCAUCAUCUGCCUGCCACCCAUACCCUCCAGCCUCAUCAUCAGUCUCUAAGUGGUUCCUAGCUCCACGGACUCCAGAGAACUUCUUCAAAAUAUCCUUUGAAGAUACCUAACAAGACCUGGCCAGAAGAUGGCAAGGAAAAAUUUUGUAAAAACAAGUGCCCCUGAAUUAGAGCCUCCAAAAUGUCAGAAGUCAAUAGAAAAUGUCAGACUGCCUGCUAACUUAUCUUGUAUGAUCUCCAUAAAAACAAGGAUAAUACCUA